GCUUGGGAGCCAGUCAGGAGUACGUCAUACGUACUUCGAAAUGAUACCUAUUUGAAAUGAAAGUGAUGGGCCACAGCAUGUUCGGAAUAAUAUUCCGAAGCCGGCCAUAAGUUGGACCAGCUUGAAUUGGUUGGAUAAAGGCAGUUACCCAUUUUCCAGUGCCAAAAUCAUACAAACGGAUUCUUGGACAAACCGCGCGCAUGGGUAACAUUUAAACAUUCAAAUGUGUAUCCAAUUAUUCAAAUCCAAUCCAAAUGCCAAUGAAGUUGGGGAUAAUUUAACGGAGAUAAAUUAACCAAAUUUUAACACACAGCUUGGUAAAAAGCUAGUGGCUUAUCUAAUAUAAAACCGACCUCAGUUCCGAUGAUUGUUUUCAAAGCAGUAGAUAAGACAAAUCAACGACCAAUUUAACGAAAUGAACUCAGCAAAAUAAUAGCUUUGAAAGUUGUUAAUGUCUAUAUAAUCAGCCUUCAAUUGAAAUCAUUUAGGCUAGUCUGAAUUUUACUUUAUACUAGAGUAACCUACUAUUCUGGGCGAUGUUAUUACAUAUUGCUGAUAAAACAUCAUUUAAUUUUUGGGGCACACUUACUUGUAAGUCAAUACGAUCUGCGCAAUUUCUC
ensembl:ncRNA asRNA:CR46255 antisense RNA:CR46255